GUUGACACCCAGAGGUCCCGUGGAGGUCUGCAGCCAGAUCUCCAGCAGGUCCCGGAGCGGCUGAGCGGAGGAUGAACCAGCACAGGAGGAAGUGAAAUGCAGAGGUUGUUCCAACUUGCUUUUCCGCAUACUUCGAGAUACCCUAGAAGAUGCGUCUGAUGCUAUCUUUGGAGGCACUUGAAGGCCAUGGUGUAUCAUGUGAAGAUACGAGACAUAAAUCAUCUCCAGGAACGUUUCACCAACGCCAUUACAAGCAAAACUUCAACUGUGCUAAUGCAUGUUCGUCAUCUCUGGAAAACACGUAUUAAUAUGUGUUUUCGAAACAAUGGUGAUCAUAUAGAGCACAUUAUAUAAAUAAAAACAGUUGUCCAACAUAAAA